UGAUUAGAUACCCCACUAUGCCUAGCCCUAAAUCACGAUGCCAACCCUACCCAAGCAUCCGCCUGAGAACUACGAGCACAAACGCUUAAAACUCUAAGGACUUGGCGGUGCCCUAAACCCACCUAGAGGAGCCUGUUCUAG
rnacentral:rRNA from 1 species